ensembl:misc_RNA 7SK 7SK RNA
GGAUGGGAGGGCCAUAUAGCUGUAGCUCCUUUCAUCUCAUUGACUACCAGGACUGAUUUGGUUGGUCUGACUGGAUUGAUAGGUGUCCCCUUCCUCCCUUGUUGUGCAUCUCUCUGGAAGCUGUUUGCUCAGCUGGUCAAAGAGGAUGACUUUUCCCUUAAUAGAGGACCAGUCUUUGGUCAAGGGCAUACAGGUAACUACCACCUCUGUUAAAAGCUCCAAACAAGCACUCAAGAGCCUGCCUAUAUAUUUGAAAGAGAUCAGACUUUGCCUCUAGGUGGUGCCUUGAAUGGCUGUAAGA